rnacentral:rRNA from 1 species
AUUGAACGCUGGCGGAAUGCUUUACACAUGCAAGUCGAACGGCAGCACGGACUUCGGUCUGGUGGCGAGUAGCGAACGGGUGAGUAAUGUAUCGGAACGUGCCCAGUCGUGGGGGAUAACGUAGUGAAAAUUACGCUAAUACCGCAUACGAUCUAUGGAUGAAAGCGGGGAUCGCAAGACCUCGCGCGAUUGGAGCGGCCGAUAUCAGAUUAGGUAGUUGGUGGGGUAAAGGCCCACCAAGCCAACGAUCUGUAGCUGGUCUGAGAGGACGACCAGCCACACUGGAACUGAGACACGGUCCAGACUCCUACGGGAGGCAGCAGUGGGGAAUUUUGGACAAUGGGCGAAAGCCUGAUCCAGCCAUUACGCGUGCAGGAUGAAGGCCCUCGGGUUGUAAACUGCUUUUGUACAGAACGAAAAGGUUUCUACUAAUACUAGGAGCUCAUGACGGUACUGUAAGAAUAAGCACCGGCUAACUACGUGCCAGCCGCCGCUGUAA